GACGAACCGUGCGAACGUUGUUCGGAAUCACUGGGCUUAAAGGGUGCGUAGGCGGACCACCAAGUCGGGGGUGAAAUCUUUCAGCUCAACUGGAAAAGAGCUUCCGAUACUGGUGGUCUCGAGGGAGGUAGGGGUCGAGGGAACUAAUGGUGGAGCGGUGAAAUGCGUAGAUAUCAUUAGGAACGCCGGUGGCGAAAGCGCUCGACUGGACCUCUUCUGACGCUGAGGCGCGAAAGCCAGGGGAGCAAACGGG
rnacentral:rRNA from 1 species